rnacentral:rRNA from 1 species
GACGAACGCUGGCGGCGUGCUUAACACAUGCAAGUCGAACGGAAAGGCCCCCACCUUGGUGGGGGUGCUCGAGUGGCGAACGGGUGAGUAACACGUGGGUGAUCUGCCCUGUACUUCGGGAUAAGCUUGGGAAACUGGGUCUAAUACCGGAUAGGACCAUGGUUUAGUGUCUCAUGGUGGAAAAAUUAUUGUUUUGGUGCAGGAUGAGCUCGCGGCCUAUCAGCUUGUUGGUGGGGUAAUGGCCUACCAAGGCGUCGACGGGUAGCCGGCCUGAGAGGGUGGACGGCUACAUUGGGACUGAGAUACGGCCCAGACUCCUACGGGAGGCAGCAGUGGGGAAUAUUGCACAAUGGGCGCAAGCCUGAUGCAGCGACGCCGCGUGGGGGAUGACGGCCUUCGGGUUGUAAACUCCUUUCGUUAGGGACGAAGCCACACCUUUUUUGGGUGUGGUGACGGUACCUUUGUUAAGAAGCACCGGCUAACUACGUG